GACGAACGCUGGCGGCGUGCUUAACACAUGCAAGUCGAACGGUAAGGCCCUUCGGGGUACACGAGUGGCGAACGGGUGAGUAACACGUGGGUGAUCUGCCCUGCACUUCGGGAUAAGCCUGGGAAACUGGGUCUAAUACCGGAUAGGACCACUGCCUGCAUGGGUGGUGGUGGAAAGCUUUUGCGGUGUGGGAUGGGCCCGCGGCCUAUCAGCUUGUUGGUGGGGUGAGGGCCUACCAAGGCGACGACGGGUAGCCGGCCUGGGAGGGUGACCGGCCACACUGGGCCUGAGAUACGGCCCAGACUCCUACGGGAGGCAGCGGAGGGAAAUAUUGCACAAUGGGCGCAAGCCUGAGGCAGCGACGCCGCGUGAGGGAUGACGGCCUUCGGGUUGUAAACCUCUUUCAGCACCGACGAAGCGCAAGUGACGGUAGGUGCAGAAGAAGGACCGGCCAACUACGUGCCAGCCGCCGCAGUAA
rnacentral:rRNA from 1 species